rnacentral:rRNA from 1 species
UACGGGGGGUGCGAGCGUUGUCCGGAAUCACUGGGCGUAAAGGGCGCGUAGGUGGUUUGUUGCGUCGGCUGUGAAAUCCCGAGGCUCAACCUCGGGUCUGCAGUCGAUACGAGCAAACUAGAGUGUUGCAGGGGAGACUGGAAUUCCUGGUGUAGCGGUGAAAUGCGCAGAUAUCAGGAGGAACACCGGUGGCGAAGGCAGCUCUCUGGGACGGUACUGACGCUGAGACGCGAAAGCGUGGGGAGCGAACAGG